rnacentral:rRNA from 1 species
UACGGAGGGGACUAGCGUUGUUCGGAAUUACUGGGCGUAAAGCGCACGUCGGCGGAUUUGUAAGUCAGGGGUGAAAUCCCGGGGCUCAACCUCGGAACUGCCUUUGAUACUGCAAAUCUCGAGUCCGGAAGAGGUGAGUGGAAUUCCUAGUGUAGAGGUGAAAUUCGUAGAUAUUAGGAAGAACACCAGUGGCGAAGGCGGCUCACUGGUCCGGUACUGACGCUGAGGUGCGAAAGCGUGGGGAGCAAACAGG